GUUUUUUUCUACGUUAAAGGUUGGCGAAUCUCUUUUUUCUACAAUAGGUCUUGCCAUUAUGGGACUUUUGUGUGUUUUGAUAAAGGCAAAAAGUCUUGGACAAGCUGGUGCUGAUAUUUUGCUGUUUCCACAAUGUUGGAAAACCUUUACGUUUUAACAGACUAUUGAGCUGCGCUGCUAAUUUCUUGGUUGGAUCUUCUUUUAGUAGGGUUGGUUUGGUGUCUUUGAUGUAAUCCUCUAGAAAAGAAUCGUACUUACUUCUCUCCAGUAAUACCAUUUUUUUCGUUUUGUCCUCCCUCGGGAUUGUACUGUAUAUCCGCUCUGGUCCAUCCUCUUCUCAGCUUUUUUGAUUAGAGUGUUUUCUUGGCGCUGUUGUCUAUGUAGAUUAGGUUGUUUACUGGCGGGGUCAAACUUGGCCAUUUUUUCUCUUGCGUAGACCCCUCUAUAUUUUUGCUUCUCUCCUUUGUCUGCUAUCGCAUCUAGAGUGUCCUCCACGUAUGGAAUCUCAUCAAUUGGGGUCAUAUUGACAAGUGUAGCACAGGCUGGGUCUUUUUUGAUUAAUUUUCAAGAAAAGGUGGAAUUUCUAUUUCACCUACAACCGUUAUGGCCUCUUUCAGUUCUAUUUCAGUUUUGCUUUUUCUUACCCCUUAUGUUUUAAAGACCCACUUCAACUUUUUAAUGUAUUUCUCUCUUAAGUUAACUUGCUUUGUUUUGAUGCUACUGUUUGCUCUCUGCACAAAUUCAUUUGCUUUAUUAUCUUUAGUUAGUUGUUGUUUGCUGGCUGCCUCUUCUGUUAAGGCUCGAAAAUAGUUUUGUUUCGCAUCCAUGAUUGCUGCUUUGAGGCAAACCCUCUUAGUGUUUUCAAGGGCUUUUUUAGAUUUAACUGGUAACUUUAUUUUAAAUAUUGUCGUAGGAUAGACUUUAUUUAACUUGCACUCUUGA
rnacentral:lncRNA from 1 species